AAGAACCUUACUCAAUUUUAUGCUCUCAAGUUGGGGGCUCUAUUAAGCUGGGGGCCCGGGGCAAUUUGCCCCCUCUUCGGCAGCCCUGGGUCUGAAUAUGAAACUAGUUUUCGCACGCUAGAACAGGGGAGUUGUGAAUUGCAAUUGGGAGUAAAGCAACAUGACCUCACCUUUAUUUUAAUAAUCUAUUUCCCCUAUUUUCAUUAAGGGCACAUGGUUAAUAGACCGUUAUCAUUAAAAGAAGGGUGAGGACAUAUUGCAUCUUAACCAGAUGGAAGUCUCAAUACACACUGCAAGUCAUAUAUUAAUGCAGCCCAGCAGGACUUGCAACAUGCACUGUUUCAAACAAAUCCA